rnacentral:misc_RNA from 1 species
GAUGAAGAACGUAGCGAAAUGCGAUACUUGGUGUGAAUUGCAGAAUCCCGUGAACCAUCGAGUCUUUGAACGCAAGUUGCGCCCGAAGCCAUCAGGUUGAGGGCACGUCUGCGUGGGCGUCACAUAUCGUUGCCCAAUGCCUAUUGCAGUGCAAUAGGAAUUUCUAGGGCGAAUGAUGGCUUCCCGUGAGCGUUGUUGCCUCGCGGUUGGUUGAAAAUCGAGUCCUUGGUAGGGUGUGCCAUGGUAGAUGGUGGUCGAGUUAGAACGAUACCGAUCAUGUGCAUGCUCCCCAAAAUAUGGCCUCUAUGACCCACACGCGUCUUUUGACGCUCAUGACGAGACCUCAGGUCAGGCGGGGCUACCCGCUGAAUUUAAGCAUAUCAAUAAGCGGAGGA